CCUACGGGAGGCAGCAGUGAGGAAUAUUGGUCAAUGGGCGAGAGCCUGAACCAGCCAAGUCGCGUGAAGGAUGAAGGAUCUAUGGUUUGUAAACUUCUUUUAUAUGGGAAUAAAGUGAGGAACGUGUUCCUUUUUUUAUGUACCAUAUGAAUAAGCAUCGGCUAACUUCGUUCCCGCAGCCGCGGUAAUACGGAGGAUGCGAGCGUUAUCCGGAUUUAUUGGGGUUAAAGGGGGCGUAGGUGGGUAAUUAAGUUAGCGGUGAAAGUUUGUGGCUCAACCAUAAAAUUGCCGUUGAAACUGGUUGACUUGAGUAUAUUUGAGGUAGGCGGAAUGCGUGGUGUAGCGGUGAAAUGCAUAGAUAUCACGCAGAACUCCGAUUGCGAAGGCAGCUUACUAAACUAUAACUGACACUGAAGCACGAAAGCGUGGGGAUCAAACAGGAUUAGAUACCCGUGUAGUC
rnacentral:rRNA from 1 species